rnacentral:rRNA from 1 species
UACGUAGGGUGCGAGCGUUGUCCGGAAUUACUGGGCGUAAAGAGCUCGUAGGUGGUUUGUCGCGUUGUUCGUGAAAACCGGAGGCUCAACCUCUGGCGUGCGGGCGAUACGGGCAGACUUGAGUACUGCAGGGGAGACUGGAAUUCCUGGUGUAGCGGUGGAAUGCGCAGAUAUCAGGAGGAACACCGAUGGCGAAGGCAGGUCUCUGGGCCACUACUGACGCUGGAGGUGCGAAAGCGUGGGGAGCGAACAGG